AUUCCUUUAGUAUAUAAAAGUAUAUUUAACUUCCAAUUAAAAGGUUUAUUAUUUAAAAGGAAUA
rnacentral:tRNA from 1 species